rnacentral:rRNA from 1 species
GACGAACGCUGGCGGCGUGCUUAAUACAUGCAAGUCGAGCGAACAGACGAGGCUCUUGCGCCGUGGACGUUAGCGGCGGACGGGUGUGUAACACGUGUAUAACCUACCUAUAAGACUGGUAUAAUCACGGGAAACCGGAUCUAAUACCGGAGAAUAUAUUGAACCGUAUGGUGCAAUAGUGAAUGACGGUGUUGGUGGCAGUAAUAGAUGGAUCUGGGCCGCAUUAGGUAGUAGUUAAGGUAACGGCUUACCAAGGCAACGAUGCGUAGACGACCGGCGAGGGUGGUCGCCCACCCGGGAGCGGAGACGGGGUCCAGACUCCUGAGGGACGGAGCAGAAGGGUAUCUGACGCAAUGGGCGAAAGUAUGACGGAGCAGCGCGGCGUGAGUGAUGACAGUCUUGGGAUCGUAAAACUCUGUUAUUAGGGGUGAACAACUGUGUAAGUAACUGUACACGUCUUGACGGUAACUGAUAAGAAAGCAACGGCUAACUACGUG